rnacentral:rRNA from 1 species
CAGUCGCCGCGGUAAUACGAAGGGUGCAAGCGUUACUCGGAAUUACUGGGCGUAAAGCGUGCGUAGGUGGUGGUUUAAGUCCGUUGUGAAAGCCCUGGGCUCAACCUGGGAAUUGCAGUGGAUACUGGGUCACUAGAGUGUGGUAGAGGAUAGUGGAAUUUCCGGUGUAGCAGUGAAAUGCGUAGAGAUCGGAAGGAACAUCUGUGGCGAAGGCGACUAUCUGGGCCAACACUGACACUGAGGCACGAAAGCGUAAGGAGCAAACAGGAUUAGAUACCCCGGUAGUCCCUGUCUCUUAUAC